rnacentral:lncRNA from 1 species
UAUAUGUGUUGGAUUGAUACUGUUCUAUAUGUGUUGGGCUGUGAUUACUGUUUCAUAUGUGUUGGGAUUCUUCCACUGUUCUAUAUGUGUUGGGAUUUGAUACUGUUCUCUAUGUGUUGGGAUUCUCUCACUGUUCUAUAUGUGUUUGUUCUUCUUCACUGUUCUAUAGUUUGGGAUUCUCUCAUGUUCUAUAUGUGUUGGGAUCUCUCACUUUUCUAUAUGUGUUGGGAUUCUCUCACUGUUUCUAUAUGUGUUGGUUGAUCUCACUGUUCUAUAUGUGUUGGAGUCUCUCACUGUUCUAUAUAGUGUUGGGAUUCUCCUGUUCUAUAUGUGUUGGGAUUCUCACUGUUCUAUAUGUGUUGGGAUUUGAUACUGUUCUAUAUGUGUUGGGAUUCUCACUGUUCUAUAUGUGUUGGGAUUUGAUACUGUUCUAUAUGUGUUGGGAUUUGAUACUGUUCUAUAUGUGUUGGGAUUUGAUACUGUUCUAUAUGUGUUGGGAUUUGAUACUGUUUAUAUGGUUGGGAUUCUCUCACUGUUCUAUAUGUGUUGGGAUGUGAUACUGUUCUAUAUGUGUUGGGAUUCUCACACUGUUCUUGUGUUGGAUUUGAUACUGUUCUAUAUGUGUUGGGAUUUGAUACUGUUCUAUAUGCGUUGGGAUUUGAUACUGUUCUAUAUGUGUUGGGAUUUGUACUGUUCUAUAUGUGUUGGGAUUCUCUCACUGUUCUAUAUGUGUUGGGAUGUGCUACUGUUCUAUAUGUGUUGGGAUUCUCACACUGUUCUCUAUGGUUGGGAUUUGAUAUGUUCUAUAUUUGU